rnacentral:rRNA from 1 species
GAUGAACGCUGGCGGCGUGCCUAAUACAUGCAAGUCGAGCGAAGCGGGGCCGGGUGAGUAACACGUGGUGAACCUCCUUUAAGACUGGGAUACCUUGGGGAAACCGGAGCUAAACCGGAUACUUAUUAAUGGAUCCGCGCUGCAUUAGCUAGUUGGUAAGGUAACGGCUUACCAAGGCAACGAUGCAUAGCCGACCUGAGAGAGUGAUCGGCCACAAUGGAACUGAGACACGGUCCAGACUCCUACGGGAGGCAGCAGUAGGGAAUCUUCCGCAAUGGGCGAAAGCCUGACGGAGCAACGCCGCGUGAGUGAAGAAGGUUUUCGGAUCGUAAAUCUCUGUUGUUAGGGAAGCGGUAUCUAAUCAGAAAGCCACGGCUAACUACGUGCCAGCAGCCGCGGUAAUAC